rnacentral:rRNA from 1 species
UAUCAAUAAGCGGAGGAAAAGAAACCAACAGGGAUUGCCCCAGUAACGGCGAGUGAAGCGGCAACAGCUCAAAUUUGAAAUCUGGCCCCCGGGUCCGAGUUGUAAUUUGCAGAGGAUGCUUCGGGCGAGGUGCCUUCCGAGUUCCCUGGAACGGGACGCCACAGAGGGUGAGAGCCCCGUCUGGUCGGACACCGAGCCCGUGUGAAGCUCCUUCGAAGAGUCGAGUAGUUUGGGAAUGCUGCUCAAAACGGGAGGUAUAUGUCUUCUAAAGCUAAAUAUUGGCCAGAGACCGAUAGCGCACAAGUAGAGUGAUCGAAAGAUGAAAAGCACUUUGAAAAGAGGGUUAAAAAGUACGUGAAAUUGUUGAAAGGGAAGCGCCCAUGACCAGACUUGGGCCCGGUGAAUCACCCGGCGUUCUCGCCGGUGCACUUUGCCGGGCACAGGCCAGCAUCAGUUUGGCGCGGGGAGAAAGGCUUCGGGAACGUGGCUCCCUCGGGAGUGUUAUAGCCCGCUGCGCAAUACCCUGCGCCGGACUGAGGUACGCGCAUCGCAAGGAUGCUGGCGUAAUGGUCAUCAGCGACCCGUCUUGAAACACGGACCAAGGAGUCGUCUUCGUAUGCGAGUGUUCGGGUGUCAAACCCCUACGCGGAAUGAAAGUGAACGCAGGUGAGAGCUUCGGCGCAUCAUCGACCGAUCCUGAUGUUCUCGGAUGGAUUUGAGUAAGAGCAUACGGGGCCGGACCCGAAAGAAGGUGAACUAUGCCUGUAUAGGGUGAAGCCAGAGGAAACUCUGGUGGAAGCUCGCAGCGGUUCUGACGUGCGAAUCGAUCGUCAAAUAUGGGCAUGGGGGCGAAAGACUAAUCGAACCUUCUAGUAGCUGGUUUC